UCGGUCGUGCCUCCGGUACGUACUGGCCCUACCGGUUCCUCCCUUCUGACGAACCACGAUGUCAUUAAUUUGGUGUUGUGGGGAAUCAGGACUGUUACUUUGAAAAAAUUAGAGUGUUUAAAGCAGGCUAAAGCUUGAAUAGAUUAGCAUGGAAUAACGAAUAGGACGUUUGAUCUUAUUUUGUUGGUUUCUAAGAUCGACGUAAUGAUUAAUAGGGAUAGUUGGGGGCAUUAGUAUUUAAUUGUCAGAGGUGAAAUUCUCGGAUUUGUUAAAGACUAACUUAUGCGAAAGCAUUUGCCAAGGAUGUUUUCAUUAAUCAAGAACGAAAGUUAGGGGAUCAAAGACGAUCAGAUACCGUCCUAGUCUUAACCAUAAACUAUGCCGACUAGGGAUCGGAGGCGCGCUAUAUCCGCCUUCGGCGCCUUACGGGAAAC
rnacentral:rRNA from 2 species